AGGCCAUUUCAAAGAGAUCGUGUGGGACUGUGAAACCAAGAGCUCUUAACGCUAUGACCAAAGACUGGAGUUCUCUAUAGGAUGCCAUAGCACUCAAUAGUGUUGUUUUUUUGUGAAGAUAUAAAUUU
ensembl:snoRNA